GGUAGAGGCCAGGCGACUGCGUAAUGUGGAGACUAGUACCAAUAGAUAGAAUGCUAUAUCAAGCAGGUCGAGAACUAAAGCCAGAGUGCUUGCCAUGACUAGACAGGAGGCGCAAGCUACUCCUGAUGUGGUGAUAGGUACGUUGUCCAUAUUUGAUCCUGAUGCAUAUAUAUUGAUGAACCCCAGAUCUAUACAUUCAUAUCU
rnacentral:lncRNA from 1 species